rnacentral:rRNA from 1 species
GAGUUUGAUCCUGGCUCAGAACGAACGCUGGCGGCGUGCCUAACACAUGCAAGUCGAACGUGAUCCAGAGCUUGCUCUGGUGAAAGUGGCGCACGGGUGAGUAACGCGUGGAUAACCUACCCUGGUAUCCGGGAUAACAUUCCGAAAGGGGUGCUAAUACCGGAUAAGCCCACGGGCUCUUUGGAGCUUGCGGGAAAAGGUGGCCUCUAUUUAUAAGCUACUGUAUCAGGAUGGGUCCGCGUACCAUUAGCUAGUUGGCGGUGUAACGGACCACCAAGGCGACGAUGGUUAGCUGGUCYGAGAGGAUGAUCAGCCACACUGGAACUGAGACACGGUCCAGACUCCUACGGGAGGCAGCAGUGGGGAAUUUUGCGCAAUGGGGGAAACCCUGACGCAGCAACGCCGCGUGAGUGAUGAAGGCCUUUGGGUCGUAAAGCUCUGUCARAGGGGAAGAAAUGAUAUAGUGCUAAUACCACUUUAUCUUGACGGUACCCUCAAAGGAAGCACCGGCUAACUCCGUGCCAGCAGCCGCGGUAAUAC